GGCGAACGGGUGAGUAACGCGUGAGCAACCUGCCUCUUUGAGGGGGAGUAACAACCGGAAACGGUUGCUAAUACCGCAUAAGACCACACUGUCGCAUGGCAGAGGGGUCAAAGGAGCAAUCCGCAGAGAGAGGGGCUCGCGUCCCAUUAGGUAGACGGCGGGGUAACGGCCCACCGUGCCGACGAUGGGUAGCCGAGCUGAGAGGCUGAUCGGCCACACUGGAACUGAGACACGGUCCAGACUCCUACGGGAGGCAGCAGUGGGGAAUAUUGGGCAAUGGGCGAAAGCCUGACCCAGCAACGCCGCGUGAGGGAAGAAGGUCUUCGGAUUGUAAACUUCUUUUAUGAGGGACGAAGGACGUGACGGUACCUCAUGAAUAAGCCACGGCUAACUACGUGCCAGCAGCUGC
rnacentral:rRNA from 1 species